rnacentral:rRNA from 1 species
CCUACNGGUCGCACCAGUGGGGAAUAUUGGACAAUGGGCGAAAGCCUGAUCCAGCAAUGCCGCGUGUGUGAAGAAGGUCUUCGGAUUGUAAAGCACUUUCGACGGGGANGAUGAUGGCGGNNCCCGUAGAAGAAGCCCCGGCUAACUUCGUGCCAGCAGCCGCGGUAAUACGAAGGGGGCUAGCGUUGUUCGGAAUUACUGGGCGUAAAGCGCGCGUAGGCGGAUAGAUAAGUCAGAGGUGAAAUCCCGGGGCUCAACCCCGGAAUUGCCUUUGAUACUGUUUGUCUUGAGUGCAGAAGAGGUAAGUGGUAUUCCGAGUGUAGAGGUGAAAUUCGUAGAUAUUCGGAGGAACACCAGUGGCGAAGGCGGCUUACUGGUCUGCAACUGACGCUGAGGCGCGAAAGCGUGGGGAGCAAACAGGAUUAGAUACCCGGGUAGUC